AUGCAGAUGCAAUUUUAUGUUUUACAAUAAUUGGCUUUUGCUAUAAAGGGAUAUUGUCUUCAAUAUGUCACUACUUAAGUGUGAUAAUAUCAUGUAGUUAUUAAAUUGCUUUGAUUUAUAGGGAUUAAACUAAUUGUACUGCAUUAGUAGACAAUGCGUUUUUGGACCUGUCCUGGAGCACCCCAUAUUUUGUAUGCGUCUGCUAAUGAGCUGAUGAGGUACUUCUGGCUUUGUCCUAGUAAGGCGGUAUAUCUUGUCAUCGAAGAAUUCUUUGCACACAUUGAAAUACAAAAAAAUAAUGAGCUGACAGUGAAUUAACACUGAGCUUAUCUAAUUUAAUGAGAUGAUGGCAUUGUUUUUUUUUUCAGUUGUUUUGUUGUUAAUAAAUCAUAUAAUGUUAAACUGUGCACAAUGUAAACCACUGUGAGACCAUAUACAGUUGUCAUAAUUACACAUACUGCAAUAAUACAAAGUCGAGACAUUUAUGUGUUACUUUAUUUUAUUUAUUUAUUUAUUACACAUCCUCACUGGGAUGCAGCUUUCCAUUUGAGAAACACCCCAGGUGUGUUAAAUUAGGAUAACAUGCAAAAUGUCCAGUGCUCCAAGACACGUUUGAAAACCCUCGCAAUAGACAGCCUUAUUAAAGAUUUGUUUGGAAUAAAUGAAGCCGUCAGUAAAUUUUGGUUGUGCAUUUAUUUAAAAUAAACAGUCAAUUGGGUGAAGUUAUUGUUGACAUUAAGUGACAGAAUUCACACAAAGUCAUCAAUAGCGUUAACGUCGUCAAUGAUGUUAAAAGGUAAAAUUAAGAAUUUAGAAGUGCAAAGGCACCCAAAGACUCAUGUUCGCCCUGUUGUGUAAUUAAAGUAGCCUGCCUUCAUUUUACCUGAAGAUUAGUUCAUGAAAAAAUAGUUUAUUAUUUUAAUGUAUAAAUCUGUAAACAUCAUACCUGUUUUCCCAUCUUUUUCUAGUGAGUUGUGCAUUGGGUAACCAGACUCAUCCAAGUCAUCAUUCUCUUCAGUGGCUUCACAAAAUUCUCUCCCCCCACAAUGAAGGCAUGUUCAUUCUUGUGUUUUGAAUUUUGCGGCCACCACAGAUUGAGUCUGUGGAGAAUUUAAAAUCUUAAUCUCCAUCAAGACUGCCAAAAUUAAUUGCCUCAGCUGGUACAUGUACUAUACUACUAGAUGGAUGUUGCACACCAUGAAGUGGCUGCCAAGUUCUUUUGUUGUGUUUGCCCAGAAGACGUUAGACAUUCACACCCUUCUUCUCAACCAACAACUGGUUAAUCAGGAUUCAUUUCAGCCUGCCACUGAACAAAGAGUGAAGUAGUAAAGGCAGGUCUGAUGCAUGUAGUCAGUUGCUUUAUACGCUGGAAGCCUCAGUGAUGCAUUAAGCGAGGUUAUCAACCCCUAGGUGCUGAUCUGUUAAAGGUUUCCACAUUUAGCAGGUUUGGAAAGACCAAGGAAAGGUGUCAGGAAAGACACAGAUGAGUGGAAGGUGAAUGGGUGGUGCAGUUGAUUGGGGUAAGGUUUUAAACUCCGGUUCAGUGAUACUGAACAAAAACUCUUCUGUGGUGUACGAGGAGAGGAUGUACAAACUGCAAGUAAUGAUGGCGAGCCAACCCAGACUGUGACUUUGAUCUUUGUUUCAACUGUUCCUGCAAAGGGAUUCUCUGUAAACUCACUACCAAACAGUUGGAGUAUCCGGAUCUGUUUUUAACUGAAUAAAGCAUCGAUUUCUUCCAUUCUUCUACAUUAUUAUUAUUUUUCUGAACUGGAAAUCUUUUUUCUUCAACAUCUAACUGAACUGAACUGAAUUGUAUUCCACGACAAGAACAGAAAUUAAAUGGAAUUUAAGUAA